GACGAACGCUGGCGGCGUGCCUAAUACACGCAAGUCGAGCGCAGGAAACUGACGGAACUCUUCGGAGGGAAGGCAGUGGAAUGAGCGGCGGACGGGUGAGUAACACGUAAGGAACCUGCCUCAAGGAUUGGGAUAACUCCGAGAAAUCGGAGCUAAUACCGGAUAGUUCAUCGGACCGCAUGGUCCGUUGAUGAAAGGCGCUCCGGCGUCACCUUGAGAGGGCCUUGCGGUGCAUUAGCUAGUUGGUGGGGUAACGGCCCACCAAGGCGACGAUGCAUAGCCGACCUGAGAGGGUGAGCGGCCACACUGGGACUGGGACACGGCCCAGACUCCUACGGGAGGCAGCAGUAGGGAAUCUUCCACAAUGGACGAAAGUCUGAUGGAGCAACGCCGCGUGAGUGAUGAAGGUUUUCGGAUCGUAAAACUCUGUUGUAAGGGAAGAACACGUACGAGAGGAAAUGCUCGUACCUUGACGGUACCUUACGAGAAAGCCACGGCUAACUACGUGCCAGCCGCCGCCGUAA
rnacentral:rRNA from 1 species